CCCCUAUAUCAGUGGGAAUGCUAUGUAGACCAUGCCCCUAUAUCAGUGGGAAUGCUGUGUAGGCCAUGCCCCUAUAUCAGUGGGAAUGCUAUGUAGGCCAUGCCCCUAUAUCAGUGGGAAUGCUAUGUAGGCCUAGUCCCUAUAUCAGUGGGAAUGCUAUGUAGGCCUAGCCCCUAUAUCAGUGGGAAUGCUAUGUAGGCCUAGCCCCUAUAUCAGUGGGAAUGCUGUGUAGGCCAUGCCCCUAUAUCAGUGGGAAUGCUACGUAGGCCAUGCCCCUAUAUCAGUGGGAAUGCUAUGUAGGCCAUGCCUCUAUAUCAGUGGGAAUGCUGUGUAGGCCAUGCCCCUAUAUCAGUGGGAAUGCUGUGUGGGCCAUGCCCCUAUAUCAGUGGGAAUGCUAUGUAGGCCAUGCCCCUAUAUCAGUGGGAAUGCUAUGUAGGCCAUGCCCCUAUAUCAGUAGGAAUGCUGUGUAGGCCAUGCCUCUAUAUCAGUGGGAAUGCUGUGUAGGCCAUGCCCCUAUAUCAGUGGGAAUGCUAUGUAGGCCAUGCCCCUAUAUCAGUGGGAAUGCUGUGUAGGCCAUGCUCCUAUAUCAGUGGGAAUGCUAUGUAGGUCAUGCCCCUAUAUCAGUAGGAAUGCUAUGUCGGCCAUGCCCCUAUAUCAGUGGGAAUGCUG
ensembl:lncRNA